UACUCAGUUCGGAUUGAAGGCUGAAAUUCGCCUUCAUGAAGCUGGAAUUGCUAGUAAUGGCAGGUCAGCAUACUGCCGUGAAUACGUUCCCGGGCCUUGUACACACCGCCCGUCACACCAUGAGAGUUGGGAAUACCCGAAGCCUGUGAGCUAACUUUUAGAGGCAGCAGUCGAAGGUAGAAUCAAUGAUUGGGGUGAAGUCGUAACAAGGUAGC
rnacentral:rRNA from 1 species